UACGGGGGGGGCAAGCGUUGUUCGGAAUUACUGGGCGUAAAGCGCACGUAGGCGGCUUUGUAAGUUAGAGGUGAAAGCCCAGUGCUCAACACUGGAACUGCCUUUAAGAUUGCAUCGCUUGAAUCCAGGAGAGGUGAGUGGAAUUCCGAGUGUAGAGGUGAAAUUCGUAGAUAUUCGGAAGAACACCAGUGGCGAAGGCGGCUCACUGGACUGGUAUUGACGCUGAGGUGCGAAAGCGUGGGGAGCAAACAGG
rnacentral:rRNA from 1 species